rnacentral:rRNA from 1 species
UACGGGGGGGGCAAGCGUUGUUCGGAAUUACUGGGCGUAAAGGGCUCGUAGGCGGCCAACUAAGUCGGAUGUGAAAUCCCCAGGCUUAACCUGGGAACUGCAUCCGAUACUGGAUGGCUUGAAUCCGGGAGAGGGAUGCAGAAUUCCAGGUGUAGCGGUGAAAUGCGUAGAUAUCUGGAGGAAUACCGGUGGCGAAGGCGGCGUCCUGGACCGGCAUUGACGCUGAGGAGCGAAAGCUAGGGGAGCAAACGGG